rnacentral:rRNA from 1 species
GAUUAUGGCUCAGGAUGAACGCUAGCGACAGGCUUAACACAUGCAAGUCGAGGGGCAGCAUAGAAGUAGCAAUACUUUGGUGGCGACCGGCGCACGGGUGAGUAACGCGUAUGCAACCUACCUAUCAGAGGGGAAUAACCCGGCGAAAGUCGGACUAAUACCGCAUAAAACAGGGGCACCGCAUGGUGAUAUUUGUUAAAGAAAUUCGCUGAUAGAUGGGCAUGCGUUCCAUUAGGUAGUUGGUGAGGUAACGGCUCACCAAGCCGACGAUGGAUAGGGGAACUGAGAGGUUGGUCCCCCACACUGGUACUGAGACACGGACCAGACUCCUACGGGAGGCAGCAGUGAGGAAUAUUGGUCAAUGGGCGGGAGCCUGAACCAGCCAAGUCGCCGUGAAGGAAGAAGGAUCUAUGGUUCGUAAACUUCUUUUGCAGGGGAAUAAAGUGCAGGACGUGUCCUGUUUUGUAUGUACCCUGAGAAUAAGGAUCGGCUAACUCCGUGCCAGCCGCCGC